rnacentral:rRNA from 1 species
UACGUAGGAGGCAAGCGUUGUCCGGAAUUACUGGGCGUAAAGCGCGUGUAGGUGGUGGGACAAGUCUGCUGUGAAAGCGCCUGGCUUAACCGGGCGAGGUCGGCGGAAACUGCCUCACUGGAGGACGGUAGAGGGGGGUGGAAUUCCCGGUGUAGUGGUGAAAUGCGUAGAGAUCGGGAGGAACACCUGUGGCGAAGGCGGCCCCCUGGGCCGGCCCUGACACUGAGACGCGAAGGCGUGGGGAGCAAACAGG